UACGUAGGGGGCGAGCGUUGUCCGAAGUUACUGGGCGUAAAGCGCGCGUAGGCGGGUCUUUAAGUGAGGGGUGAAAGGUUCGGACUCAACCCGGACACUGCCUUUCAUACUGGGGACCUUGAGUGCGGGAGGGGCGAGUGGAAUGGUCGGUGUAGCGGUGAAAUGCGUAGAUAUCGAUCGGAACACCCAUGGCGAAGGCAGCUCGCUGGCCUGCAACUGACGCUGAGGCGCGAAAGCCAGGGGAGCAAACGGG
rnacentral:rRNA from 1 species